rnacentral:tRNA from 1 species
GCGGGUAUAGCUCAGUGGUAGAGCGUCUGGUUGUGGCCCAGAAGGCCGUGGGUUCGAGACCCACUACUCGCC